rnacentral:rRNA from 1 species
UACGGAGGGUGCAAGCGUUAUCCGGAUUUACUGGGUUUAAAGGGUGCGUAGGUGGAUAAUUAAGUCAGUGGUGAAAUCUUCAGGCUUAACCUGGAAACUGCCAUUGAUACUAUUUGUCUUGAAUACUUUGGAGGUAAGCGGAAUAUGUCAUGUAGCGGUGAAAUGCUUAGAUAUGACAUAGAACACCGAUUGCGAAGGCAGCUUACUACACAGUAAUUGACACUGAGGCACGAAAGCGUGGGGAUCAAACAGG